rnacentral:rRNA from 1 species
UGAGGAAUAUUGGUCAAUGGGCGCAAGCCUGAACCAGCCAUCCCGCGUGCAGGAUGACAGCCCUAUGGGUUGUAAACUGCUUUUAUACAGGAAGAAAAAUCCCUACGAGUAGGGACCUGCCGGUACUGUAUGAAUAAGCAUCGGCUAACUCCGUGCCAGCAGCCGCGGUAAUACGGAGGAUGCAAGCGUUAUCCGGAUUCAUUGGGUUUAAAGGGUGCGUAGGCGGCUUUUUAAGUCAGUGUUGAAAUCCUGUCGCUCAACGAUAGAAUUGCCAUUGAUACUGAAGAGCUUGAGUACAAUUGAGGUAAGCGGAAUGUGUAGUGUAGCGGUGAAAUGCUUAGAUAUUACACAGAACACCAAUUGCGAAGGCAGCUUACUAAACUGUUACUGACGCUGAUGCACGAAAGCGUGGGGAGCGAACA